rnacentral:tRNA from 1 species
GGGGUUGUGGCUCAGUGGUAGAGUACUUGCCCCACAGUGUGAGGUACUGCGUUGGAUCCUCAGCACCUUA